rnacentral:rRNA from 1 species
AUUGAACGCUGGCGGCAUGCCUUACACAUGCAAGUCGAACGGCAGCACGGGUGCUUGCACCUGGUGGCGAGUGGCGAACGGGUGAGUAAUACAUCGGAACAUGUCCUGUAGUGGGGGAUAGCCCGGCGAAAGCCGGGUUAAUACCGCAUACGAUCUACGGAUGAAAGCGGGGGACCUUCGGGCCUCGCGCUAUAGGGUUGGCCGAUGGCUGAUUAGCUAGUUGGUGGGGUAAAGGCCUACCAAGGCGACGAUCAGUAGCUGGUCUGAGAGGACGACCAGCCACACUGGGACUGAGACACGGCCCAGACUCCUACGGGAGGCAGCAGUGGGGAAUUUUGGACAAUGGGCGAAAGCCUGAUCCAGCAAUGCCGCGUGUGUGAAGAAGGCCUUCGGGUUGUAAAGCACUUUUGUCCGGAAAGAAAUCCUUGGCCCUAAUACGGUCGGGGGAUGACGGUACCGGAAGAAUAAGCACCGGCUAACUACGUG